CCUACGGGUGGCAGCAGUGGGGAAUAUUGGACAAUGGGCGAAAGCCUGAUCCAGCCAUGCCGCGUGUGUGAAGAAGGCCUGCGGGUUGUAAAGCACUUUCAGUGGGGAAGAAAGCCUUGGGGCUAAUACCCUCGAGGAAGGACAUCACCCACAGAAGAAGCACCGGCUAACUCCGUGCCAGUAGCCGCGGUAAGACGGAGGGUGCGAGCGUUAAUCGGAAUUACUGGGCGUAAAGCGCGCGUAGGCGGUCUGAUAAGCCGGUUGUGAAAGCCCCGGGCUCAACCUGGGAACGGCAUCCGGAACUGUCAGGCUAGAGUGCAGGAGAGGAAGGUAGAAUUCCCGGUGUAGCGGUGAAAUGCGUAGAGAACGGGAGGAAUACCAGUGGCGAAGGCGGCCUUCUGGACUGACACUGACGCUGAGGUGCGAAAGCGUGGGUAGCAAACAGGAUUAGAUACCCGGGUAGUC
rnacentral:rRNA from 1 species